rnacentral:rRNA from 1 species
UGGGGAAUAUUGCGCAAUGGGCGAAAGCCUGACGCAGCGACGCCGCGUGUGGGAUGACGGCCUUCGGGUUGUAAACCACUGUCGGGAGGGACGAAUGCGCCGCAAGGCGAGUGACGGUACCUCCAAAGGAAGCACCGGCUAACUCCGUGCCAGCAGCCGCGGUAAUACGGAGGGUGCGAGCGUUGUCCGGAAUCACUGGGCGUAAAGGGCGCGUAGGCGGCCUGAUAAGUAGGGGGUGAAAUCCUGCGGCUUAACCGCAGGGCUGCCUUCUAAACUGUCAGGCUAGAGCACAGUAGAGGCAGGUGGAAUUCCCGGUGUAGCGGUGGAAUGCGUAGAGAUCGGGAAGAACAUCAGUGGCGAAGGCGGCCUGCUGGGCUGUUGCUGACGCUGAGGCGCGACAGCGUGGGGAGCAAACAGG